AGAGAGAGACAUGCGCGCAUAUCAAUAGCGGAGGAAAAGAAACUAACAAGGAUUCCCUUAGUAACGGCGAGUGAAGCGGGAAGAGCUCAAAUUUGAAAUCUUCAAGGUUUUACCUUGACAAAUUGUAGUUUAAAGAAGUGUUUUCUGCUGAAGUUUUGGUAAAAGUUCUUUGGAAUAGGACAUCAUAGAGGGUGAGAAUCCCGUAUUUGACCAUUAUUUUCAGCUUUGUGAUACACUUUCAAAGAGUCGGAUUGUUUGGGAAUGCAGUCCAAAAUGGGUGGUAAAUUUCAUCUAAAGCUAAAUAUUGGCGAGAGACCGAUAGCGAACAAGUACCGUGAGGGAAAGAUGAAAAGAACUUUGAAAAGAGAGUUAAACAGUACGUGAAAUUGUCAAAAGGGAAGCGUUUGACACCAGUGUUGUUUUCUCGAAAAUCAAUUAAAAGUGGCUCGAUUUUGUAUUGCUUGAGACCUUAAAAGCUCACUGUACAUUUUUCGUGUCCUUUUUAAUGCACUUUUCGUUUAACAAGUCAACAUCAGUUUCUUUUGUUGUAAAAGGGUCAUUGGAAGGUGGCUUUCUUUUCGGAGAAAGUGUUUAUAGCCUUUGGCCUCUGCAAUCGGAGAGACUGAGGUCUGCAGCGUAGACUCUUCGGGGUUAGAUACAUUUGUGCUAAGUUAUAGCUUUUUAUAGACAACUUGUUGACUAUAAUUAGUCUUGUAGCUUACUCGCUUAUGCUAUUUUACCUACGCUUAGGAUGUUGAAGAUGUAGCACAUCAU
rnacentral:rRNA from 1 species